rnacentral:misc_RNA from 1 species
AAGUCGUAACAAGGUAACCGUAGGUGAACCUGCGGUUGGAUCAUUAAAAAAUGCAGAUGGUCUUCAAGACCUAUCUACCAACCCCAUUGUGAACUGUUUAUUGUCUCUGGUGUGUAUAUAUUUCUCUUUUGAGAGAUAUACUUUGGCUUUUUCAUUAAAGCGGCACACUGUUAUAUCAUUAACUUUGUAUAAACAUUAAAACAGCCUAAAAAAUCUAAAAAAGUAAUUAAAAACAACUUUUGACAACGGAUCUCUAGGCUCUC